rnacentral:rRNA from 1 species
CGGCAAAAGCUCAAAUAUUGAAAUCUGGCUCCUUUAGGGGUCCGAGUUGUAAUUUGCAGAGGAUGCUUCGGGAGCGGCCACGGCUUAAGUGCCUUGGAACAGGACGUCAUAGAGGGUGAGAAUCCCGUCUUGAGUCGUUGGUCCGCGCCCAUGUGAAGCUCCUUCGACGAGUCGAGUUGUUUGGGAAUGCAGCUCUAAGCGGGUGGUAAAUUUCAUCUAAAGCUAAAUAUUGGCCGGAGACCGAUAGCGCACAAGUAGAGUGAUCGAAAGGUUAAAAGCACCUUGAAAAGGGAGUUAAACAGCACGUGAAAUUGUUGAAAGGGAAGCGCUUGCGGCCAGACUCGGGUACAGGGUUCAGCGGGUGCGUGUCACCCGUGUACUCCCUGUUUCUCGGGCCAGCAUCAGUUCUGACGGCCGGUCAAAGGCCUCUGGAAUGUGUCGUCUUUCGGGACGUCUUAUAGCCAGGGGUGCAAUGCGGCCUGU